rnacentral:misc_RNA from 1 species
UCGGUGUGUACAAGACCCGGGAACGCAUUCACCGCAGCAUUCUGAUCUGCGAUUACUAGUAACUCCAGCUUCAUGUAGGCGAGUUUCAGCCUACAAUCCGAACUGAGAAUGGCUUUAAGGGAUUAGCUCCGCCUCACGACUUGGCUGCCCUCUGUACCACCCAUUGUAGCACGUGUGUAGCCCUAAGCAUAAGGGGCAUGAUGAUUUGACGUCAUCCCCACCUUCCUCCAGGUUAUCCCUGGCAGUCCCUCUAGAGUGCCCAACUUAAUGCUGGCAACUAAAGGCAAGGGUUGCGCUCGUUGCGGGACUUAACCCAACAUCUCACGACACGAGCUGACGACAACCAUGCACCACCUGUCACUUCUGUCCCCGAAGGGAAAGAUGCGAUUAGGCAUCGGUCAAAAGGAUGUCAAGCUUAGGUAAGGUUCUUCGCGUUA